rnacentral:rRNA from 1 species
GACGAACGCUGGCGGCGUGCCUAAUACAUGCAAGUAGAACGCUGAAACUUGGUGCUUGCACCGAGCGGAUGAGUUGCGAACGGGUGAGUAACGCGUAGGUAACCUGCCUGGUAGCGGGGGAUAACUAUUGGAAACGAUAGCUAAUACCGCAUAAGAGUAGAUGUUGCAUGACAUUUGCUUAAAAGGUGCAAUUGCACCACUACCAGAUGGACCUGCGUUGUAUUAGCUAGUUGGUGGGGUAACGGCUCACCAAGGCGACGAUACAUAGCCGACCUGAGAGGGUGAUCGGCCACACUGGGACUGAGACACGGCCCAGACUGCUACGGGAGGCAGCAGUAGGGAAUCUUCGGCAAGGGACGGAAGUCUGACCGAGAAACGCCGAGUGAGUGAAGAAGGUUGUCGGAUCGUAAAGCUCGGUUGUAAGAGAAGAACGAGUGUGAGAGUGGAAAGUUCACACUGUGACGGUAUCUUACCAGAAAGGGACGGCUAACUACGUG